GCGCUGGUCUGUAAGGACAGCGCAGCUGCAGCCGCAGCAGCACCAGAGGCAGUGUGCAAGGAGAGGAGGGGUCGGAGCACCGUGAGCACAGGUGUUUCUGAGGAGGAAUCAGAUAGCAGCGAAGGCUGCCAUACACCUCUGAGUUUUUACCUGUCAACACAGUAGCGUUAGAGACACUGAAAGCAAACAGGAAGACAGACCGAUCAGUCACACCAAGAGACACUAAAGUUAAAAGUUUUUUUUUUUUCUUUUUUUUUUCCUGUUUUGUUUUCCCCCCUGGUGUGUCACUUACUACCAUGGUCAGGAAGCCUGUCGUGGCCACCAUCUCCAAGGGAAGUUACCUCCAGGGAAAUGUGAGCAGGAGGCUGCCUUCCAUGGGCGGCAAGGAGCCACCUGGGCAGGAGAAGGUGGUACUGAAGAAGAAGAUCACUCUGCUGAGGGGGGUCUCCAUCAUCAUUGGUACCAUCAUCGGAGCAGGCAUCUUCAUCUCUCCUAAAGGUGUGCUGCAGAACACUGGCAGCGUGGGCAUGUCCCUGACUGUCUGGACCGUCUGUGGGGUCCUGUCACUAUUUGGAUUCUGACUCCAGUUUCUGAAUCACAUGUUUUGGGUUUAGAAGUUUGUGUGUACCAUUUCAAAGAAAAUGGCAUUUUUCAAGUAGAAUGAAUGAGCUCUCAAAUGUGAGGAAGUUAGAAGAGGAACUUGCUGGGUCGCAGUAACUAGAUGAUGACGGUUGUUUUGAAAUAGGAUAACGUUCAGACCUGAGGAAGUAGCUGCAUCCCAGGAGCCUUGUCCUAUGCUGAACUGGGAACAAGCAUAAAGAAAUCUGGUGGCCAUUACACAUACAUUCUGGAAGUCUUUGGCCCAUUGCUAGCGUUCGUACGAGUCUGGGUGGAAUUACUUAUAAUCCGCCCUGGAGCUACUGCAGUGAUAUCCCUGGCAUUUGGACGCUACAUUCUGGAACCAUUUUUUAUUCAAUGUGAAAUUCCUGAACUUGCAAUCAAGCUCAUAACUGCUGUGGGCAUAAGUGAGUAUUACAGGUAAAACAUGAAAGAGAAAACAACACAAAAAUGAUAGGAGACAAGGUUUCUUCAUACUCUGUAGAUGUCGGUACUCUUCCCCAAAUUGCAUUCUUUUUGCUUACAGUUCAAAAUUUGUGCUGGAAAAUAUAAACAAGAACCCAGAUUUGGACUGUUUUCUGCCUCUACAAUAUAUGGCAGUUUUUCAUUGACUUAAAAGACAUGAUGGCUAAUCUUUUAAAAUAGGCAAAAACUGUGUUGCUAGUAAAAAAUUAAGAUGAUUGCACACAAAGAGAGAGAAACUUGAGAUGAAAAUCCUGCUAGUCUGUGGACCUUUUUGAAUUGGAAAUUAUCCUACCUAAGUGAUAGAUUGAAUUACAACUCAAUUGUGGUCAUGGAAUUAUAUUUAAGUGUUGGACAGGCAUAUUGCAUUCAUACAAUUCGUAGUGUUAGUAGCUGUCACUCUCAGUGUUACAGUUUUCAUUAUCUGUUAUUGGCCAGGAUUACAAUUUUCUCCCCAGACUGGUCUAUUAGUAGCAUUUUUCUACUAGGAGAUUUCUUGAUGGUUUACAAAUUAGGAAGUUAUUUAUUUUUUAUCAAUGGGCCUAGAUUUUACAAUCAAAAAAAGAGGAAGUAAAAGAGUAAAAAGUACAAAAUAACAUAAUUGAUAUGAUGCCAGAUCUUACUGUAAUUUCCUAUAAAAUUCUAGAAUAUCAUGCACAAGGGUAACUAUUCUAGAUGAUAACUGGAUCAUUGUUUUAAGAACCAAUAUGGCCAUAUUUGGUUAAAUUUUGAUAACUAAGAAAUAGGAAAUUACCCAGGAAUAACUGAAUCACAAGCUAUGGAUUCAACAGACAGUAAGAACAAUGCACUUUUGAGGAUAGAGAGGCACUGUGGCUAGUUUUCAGAAAAGAGUUAGGAGUUACAUAUAAAAAUACCUCUUGUACGAGGAGCACUUAUUUCUGAACUUUGAUAGGUUUGUCCUAAAUUUCUUCCUCUCCAAACAUAUGGUCACAAUUAUUCUGUGAAAUCUAUGAAAAGACAAAGAAAUGACUCGAAGUAGACAUUUUGGAGUUCUGGAGAGGUAAAGCUGCAGACACUUAAAUCAUCGACAGACAGGGGCAAAUCACUUACCCACUCUAAAUCUCUGUG